UAGAAUAGUAUUUAAUUAAUAAAAUCUAAUCUGCAUUUAGAAAUUGCUAUGCCUAUUCUAA
rnacentral:tRNA from 1 species